rnacentral:rRNA from 1 species
GGAUCCCAUCAGAACUUCGAAGUUAAGCGUGCUUGGGCGAGAGUAGUACUAGGAUGGGUGACCUCCUGGGAAGUCCUCGUGUUGCAUUCCCC